rnacentral:rRNA from 1 species
CCUACGGGUGGCAGCAGUGGGGAAUAUUGGACAAUGGGCGAAAGCCUGAUCCAGCCAUGCCGCGUGUGUGAAGAAGGCCUUCGGGUUGUAAAGCACUUUCAGUGGGGAAGAAAGCCUUGGGGCUAAUACCCUCGAGGAAGGACAUCACCCACAGAAGAAGCACCGGCUAACUCCGUGCCAGCAGCCGCGGUAAUACGGAGGGUGCGAGCGUUAAUCGGAAUUACUGGGCGUAAAGCGCGCGUAGGCGGUCUGAUAAGCCGGUUGUGAAAGCCCCGGGCUCAACCUGGGAACGGCAUCCGGAACUGGCAGGAUAGAGGGCAGGAGAGGAGGGUAGAAUUCCCGGUGUAGCGGUGAAAUGCGUAGAGAUCGGGAGGAAUACCAGUGGCGAAGGCGGCCUUCUGGACUGACACUGACGCUGAGGUGCGAAAGCGUGGGUAGCAAACGGGAUUAGAUACCCUAGUAGUC